rnacentral:rRNA from 1 species
UACGUAGGGUGCAAGCGUUGACCGGAUUUAUUGGGCGUAAAGGGCGCGUAGGCGGUCACGCACGUCCGUUGUGAAAUCGCUCGGCUCAACUGGGCGGGGUCAGCGGAUACUGUGCGGCUAGAGUGCGGAAGGGGCAACUGGAAUUCUCGGUGUAGCGGUGAAAUGCGUAGAUAUCGAGAGGAACACCUGCGGCGAAGGCGGGUUGCUGGGCCGACACUGACGCUGAUGCGCGAAAGCCAGGGGAGCGAACGGG